GCCCAGGUGGUGGAAUUGGUAGACACGAGGGACUUAAAAUCCCUUGGACAGUAAUGUCCGUGCGGGUUCGAUUCCCGCCCUGGGUA
rnacentral:tRNA from 1 species